GAUGUAUUCUACUACUUAGGAAGCAUAAAUACCGAAGAUUUGACUUUGAGCCCUUCAUCUUCAGAGAAACCAACAAAACUGGUGCUUGUAGACUUCAAGAAAAGUAAGAUGACAAACUCUGAAGUUGAAUACAGACUGAAAUCAAAAAGGAAAGAAGUGGCGGAUGCAUGGAAAAAGGCUAUUGAAAAAUGUCUCUGGAAAGAACUGAUGAUGAAGAGAGAUAACACCUUUGAAAGGUACCGUUCUCUUCAACAAACUCCUGAUUUUAGAGAUCCAUUAGUCGAACUGUGAUAGGUCAUGUUUAGGUUUAUAAUAUUACUUUUAGGAUGAAAAUUGUGACUGCAAUGAAUGUAAAUAUUAAAAAACAAACGCAGCAAAUACUCUUGAAUCUAAUAAAAUUGAACAGCGAAGACGUAUUGAAAAGAUACCA